CGUUGGCGCCACCGCUUUUUAUGACUCACACAUAAAUAAACCGUGCAAAGCUCGUGUGAAGGCAAAAGUGAAGAUUUCCCCGAGGUGACAACAGAUCCAAACAUGGUGUCUAGGUUGUUCUUUGCUCUUUUAGUUCUGUCUGUGGUAUUAGAGUUCUCAAGUCGAUGUGAAGCUCAAAACGGAAAAUAUAUAUGCAUGUUCAUGACAUGUAAGCGUGAGGAGUUGGAGAAUCCUCAGGCCUCAUUGGCCGAUGAUAACCCAGUCCCUUUGAACGAGUACAGACGAAAUAAGCUGAUGCGAUUAUCAAAACUGCUUCAUGAAAAACGAAACUUAUUUGACGAUGUUCAGUCAAAUGAGCGAUGAUGAUGGAUCUUCCAUAACAGAAACUUACAUGCGUAUCUUAAUUUGAAUUGGAGAUUUAUCCCAGAUUAAUUUGUAACGAUACUUAUGAAAAUUGUACAUGUUACAGAUUAUAUACUUCUAUGAAUAAAGGUAAAAAAAUAAUUCA